GGCCUUAGAGCAGCAGCCACCAGGAGAGAGCCCUGUCCGUAGUUCUACAGGGCCCAGCAUGUUGGAUCGAGGAGCUAAUUCUUGGUUUUAUUCCUGUGAAACCCGGACACAGAGGGAGAAGGAGAAGAGGAGUCAGCGGCUCGCAGAGAUACUGAGGAGGUACAAAGAGCAGCUGCUGAAGGACUUCCCCCUGGCCCGGGUGCUUCCCUACUUGGUGUACGAUGGUGUGUUCUCUCUCAAAGAGUACAGAGAGAUCCUCUCGCAGGCCUGCUACCCGGAGAGGGUGGAGUGCUUUCUCCUGAAGCUCUUCUCCAAAGGUCCAAGUGCUUUCUGUGCCUUCUGCGCUCAUCUAGAGGAACUCAACCCUUACCUGCUCACCUCCCUUUUCCUUUAUUACCAAGAGCAAACCCAACGGGUCCUACAAGAUGUGCUUGUGGCGGAAGAGGCAGCGAGGAGCAGGAAUGGAGCUCAGUGGGACUCCAGCACUGUCUCUGACCCGGAGGACCAAGAACAAAGGGCUCAAUUAUUUAACAAGGAAGAAGUGAAUCAGGGAUUGUGCCUCAGAACUGCCAACAGAGAUCAAGAUAACGAGCGGCUUGUGCUGACCCAGGUCAUUGCCAGCUGCCUCUGGGAGACAUCAGGAGCAUCAACAGCUCUUCCAACUGCUUGCCUCUGUCUGCAGCUGGUCCAGCCGUGCGCUCACACCAACAGUCCAUCCAAGACUCUCUGCGCAUGAGCUGCCUGUGCCCCACAGAGCAUCGCUGCCUGCCUAGCUCUGCAGGCUGAACUCUGGUCCAUCCAGAAACUAGCACAUACUUCCCACGUGUCAGCAAAGAACAUGAUAGGUCUAUACCUACUUGCUACCAACCAUCGCUAUACUUGGAAAACUCUUUUGAAAAUAGUAACUGAGUUAUGAAAAGUUGAGACAAGCUAAAUUCCAAGCACUGGACUUCCAAUAGGAUCAAACCAAUG
rnacentral:lncRNA from 1 species